UGAUAAUGAAUGAACUACCGGCGGAAUGUGUUGGUCGGAUUUUGGCCUUUACGUCGUUGAAAGAUGUUUGUAGAUUGGCUGGAGUUUCGUCGAUGUUCAGAUCAGCGGCUGAUUCAGAUUUUGUGUGGAAGAAUUUUGUGCCGGUGAAUUACAAAGAGAUUAUUAUUACAUCAUCUGCUUCCUCCUUCUGUUCGUUUCUAAAUUUGCUGUUGAAGAAGCCUCUCUAUAUAGGCACAGGAAACACCUCGGUUUAGGGAAUUGGCAAAGGUAGAGUAUGAUUGUGGAUUAGCAAUUGAAGGAAGAAUAGAGGUGAAGAACUUGAAUCCAGAAGCGCAUUAUUCAGUUUAUAUGGUAUUCGGGAGUAGUAGUGAGGAAUCAUUGAAAUACAAGAGAUUUGUUGUGUUGGAAAUGGAAGAAGGGAAGAUGAUGCGUGUGGGUGAAUCUCUUAAACAAAGAAGGAGAGAAGAUGGUUGGUUUGAGAUUUUAAUGGGUGGGUUCUGCAUACGAAGAGAUAAUGCUUUUAUUCAUUUCUUUGUUGGAGAAGAUAAAUACCCUUUAACUGCUGGUUGCUUUACCAUCCGAUCAAUUCACCUUAGAUUAACUUAAUUAUUAUAAUUAUUUCAUUUACAUUUUAUAA